UGAUUAAGCCGUGCAAGUCGAGAGUCGUAAUGGACUCGGCGAACUGCUCAGUAACACGUGGAUAACGUGCCCUUAAGUGGAGGAUAAUCUCGGGAAACUGAGGAUAAUACUCCAUAGAUUAUGGAAUCUGGAAUGAUCCAUAGUCAAAAGUUCCGGCGCUUAAGGAUCGGUCUGCGGCCUAUCAGGUCGUAGUGGGUGUAACGUACCUACUAGCCUAUGACGGGUAUGGGCCUUGAGAGAGGGAGCCCAGAGUUGGAUUCUGAGACACGAAUCCAGGCCCUACGGGGCGCAGCAGUCGCGAAAACUUCACAAUGGGGGCAACCCCGAUGAGGGAAUUCCUAGUGCUAGCACAUUUGUGUUAGCUUUUCUCUAGCGUAGAUAACUAGAGGAAUAAGGGCUGGGAAAGACGGGUGCCAGCCGCCGCGGUAAUACCUGCAGCCCAAGUGGUGGUCGAUUUUAUUGAGUCUAAAACGUUCGUAGCCGGUUCGAUAAAUCUUUGGGUAAAUCGGGGGGCUUAACCUUCCGUCUUCCGAGGAGACUGUCGAACUUGGGACCGGGAGAGGCUAGAGGUACUUCUGGGGUAGGGGUAAAAUCCUGUAAUCCUAGAAGGACCACCGGUGGCGAAGGCGUCUAGCUAGAACGGAUCCGACGGUGAGGGACGAAGCCCUGGGUCGCAAACGGGAUUAGAUACCCCGGUAGUCCAGGGUGUAAACGCUGCAGACUUGGUGUUGGAAGCCCUUUGGGGGCAUUCAGUGCCGGAGAGAAGUUGUUAAGUCUGCUACUUGGGGAGUACGUCCGCAAGGAUGAAACUUAAAGGAAUUGGCGGGGGAG
rnacentral:rRNA from 1 species